CUCCUUCCUCCCUCCGGCGGCAGAUCUGCAGCAGAUCUGACCCAGCCCGGCCACCACCGCCCCCAUCCAAAGAUCUGGCGUGUGGCGGCCCCCUCCUCGGAGCUCGGCGCCACGGUGAGAUCCCGGUGUGGACUCGCAGGAGGCAGCGUCGUCGGCGGUCAUCGCCAUCGUCGUCCUCGAGCUAUGCGGCCUUGCCGUCGUCCCCGAGACGCGCGCCGUCACCAUGGGUCGUCCCCAUCGCCAUCCCCUCAUGGUCGCGUGACUCGGAUCGUCGUCCUCGUCCUCGAGCCGGAGAUACCGAUGUGCCAAUUUUUCCCAUCUUGUUAGGGAUAAGAUUCAGAUUCACAGGGACUUGAUUCAUCAGCAGUUCAGCACCCCCAGUUUUGCUUAUAAGUCAGAUGAUGGAGUAGUCCAAUAUUAUUAAGUUAAAGCUGCAAGCACGCACUGAACAUUGUACGAACGGUUCAUAUUUGAAUUGAAAGAUUUGAUACAAGUGGUAAGCAAGAUAGUUAGAUAUAAUAUGGCCUUUAGUCUUUUACUUGCAUUUAUAUGUUUAUCAAAAUAACAAGCACUUUGAGGACGAUGGAAUAGCAAUGAUCUUUUAUUCUUUCAUUUUUGUAGCA